GAUGAAGAACGUAGCGAAAUGCGAUAAGUAGUGUGAAUUGCAGAAUUCAGUGAAUCAUCGAAUCUUUGAACGCACAUUGCGCCCAUUAGUAUUCUAGUGGGCAUGCCUGUUCGAGCGUCAUUUCAACCCUCAAGCUCUCUUGCUUGGUGUUGGGGCUUCUGCGGCUUCGGCCGCAGGCCCUGAAAAACAGUGGCGGACUCGCUAUAACUCCGAGCGUAGUAAUCUCUCUCGCUUUGGAAGUGUGGCGGUUCCCGGCCGUUAAACCCCCCAAUUUCUGAAUGUUGACCUCGGAUCAGGUAGGAAUACCCGCUGAACUUAAGCAUAUCAAUAAGCGGAGGA
rnacentral:misc_RNA from 1 species